rnacentral:rRNA from 1 species
CCUACGGGUGGCAGCAGUGGGGAAUAUUGGGCAAUGGGCGCAAGCCUGACCCAGCAACGCCGCGUGAAGGAAGAAGGCUUUCGGGUUGUAAACUUCUUUUGUCAGGGAAGAGUACAAGUCGGUACCUGACGAAUAAGCUACGGCUAACUACGUGCCAGCAGCCGCGGUAAUACGUAGGUGGCAAGCGUUGUCCGGAUUUACUGGGUGUAAAGGGCGUGUAGCCGGGUUGACAAGUCAGAUGUGAAAUCCUGCGGCUUAACCGAAGAACUGCAUUUGAAACUGGUGAUCUUGAGUACUGGAGAGGCAGACGGAAUUCCUGGUGUAGCGGUGAAAUGCGUAGAUAUUAGGAGGAACACCAGUGGCGAAGGCAGUCUGUUGGACAGCAACUGACGGUGAGGCGCGAAAGCGUGGGGAGCAAACAGGAUUAGAUACCCCAGUAGUC